CUCCGCGUGGGUCAAAGGGCCAGCGCAUGCCUUUUAUGGGUUGUCGCCAGCCAUAGUUACAGUCGUGAAUCAUGGACCAAGACUGCACUCUUAGGCCCACUCCUUUUUGGUGGAUCGGGUCUUGCCAUCUUCACCUUUCGUGGCUUCCUGUCGUAAUUAAAUAAAUUGUCAUAUUUUUUUCUGA
rnacentral:lncRNA from 1 species